rnacentral:snRNA from 1 species
AUCUUUGCGCUUGGGGCAAUGGCGCAGCUAGUGAGGUAAAACCGAGGAGCGUCAAUUGCUAGUUGAAAACUAUUUCCACCCCCCCUCGUUGGCCUGGGCUACGCUUUGGCCUUCGAGAAUUUUUGGAGGGUCCGCAUUUGGCUCGGGC